AGGCCCGGAAGGCAGCAGCGAUUGCGGGG
rnacentral:SRP_RNA from 14 species